AUACGGAGGAUCCGAGCGUUAUCCGGAUUUAUUGGGUUUAAAGGGAGCGUAGGUGGACAGUUAAGUCAGUUGUGAAAGUUUGCGGCUCAACCGUAAAAUUGCAGUUGAUACUGGUUGUCUUGAGUACAGUAGAGGUGGGCGGAAUUCGUGGUGUAGCGGUGAAAUGCUUAGAUAUCACGAAGAACUCCGAUUGCGAAGGCAGUGUGCUUGACAUGAAAUUGCCAUGAAUCUCGAAAAUGUGGGUUUCAAAAAGGAUUAGAUUCCCUUGUUAUUCACACCGGAAACCAAUAAAAACCGCUUUUUGCGGUUUACAAUAAGCGGCCAAGCGAAAGCAUUAAGUAUUCCACCUGGGGAGUACGCCGGCAACGGUGAAACUCAAAUGAAUUGACGGGU
rnacentral:rRNA from 1 species